GACACAGGCCCCAAGCGUUAGGCGGAAUCACUGGGCUUAAAGCGUGUGUAGGCGGAUCGUUAAGUGUCUUGUGAAAUCCCACGGCUCACCCGUGGAACUGCUGGGCAUACUGGCGAUCUUGGGCCAACUAGGGGCAGCCGGAACAAGCGGUGGAGCGGUGAAAUGCGUAGAUAUCGCUUGGAACGCCAAAGGUGAAAACAGGCUGCUGGGGUUGUGCAGACGCUGAGACACGAAAGCCAGGGGAGCAAACGGG
rnacentral:rRNA from 1 species